rnacentral:rRNA from 1 species
AACGAACGCUGGCGGCAUGCCUUACACAUGCAAGUCGAACGGCAGCGCGGACUUCGGUCUGGCGGCGAGUGGCGAACGGGUGAGUAAUACAUCGGAACGUACCCUGUUGUGGGGGAUAACUAGUCGAAAGAUUAGCUAAUACCGCAUACGACCUGAGGGUGAAAGUGGGGGACCGCAAGGCCUCACGCAGCAGGAGCGGCCGAUGUCUGAUUAGCCAGUUGGUGGGGUAAAGGCCCACCAAGGCGACGAACAGUAGCUGGGCUGAGAGGACGAUCAGCCGCACUGGGGCUGAGACACGGCCCAGAGUCGUGCGGGAGGCAGCAGUGGGGAAUUUUGGACAAUGGGGGCAACCCUGAUCCAGCAAUGCCGCGUGUGUGAAGAAGGCCUUCGGGUUGUAAAGCACUUUUGUCCGGAAAGAAAUCGCGCUGGUUAAUACCUGGCGUGGAUGACGGUACCGGAAGAAUAAGCACCGGCUAACUACGUGCCAGCAGCCGCGGUAA